rnacentral:other from 15 species
UUGUUUGAGGGAACCGGAGGGUCGCCCUCGGCGCCGCUUGGGCCAGUGUUUCGGGGCCGGCCCUGACAAGCAGCCCGAGGAGGGCCUCGAACGACUCAAACCUGGACUUCUGCGAUUGUCGCUUCCUUUUCCUGCCUCUGAGCUCGGGAGGGGUUUCCCGCCUCGCAGCCCCCGCCCCUGGACUUGCUUCUCCUCCUCCCUCUGCGUGUGGAGGGAGCCAACGCUUAGGCCGGAGCGAGCCUAGGGGCCGCCGGCCGUGAGGCCGCUCGGGGGCCUGUUCGCCAUG